ACGAAGGGUGCAAGCGUUAAUCGGAAUUACUGGGCGUAAAGGGUGCGUAGGCGGUUCGUUAAGUCUGUCGUGAAAUCCCCGGGCUCAACCUGGGAAUGGCGAUGGAUACUGGCGAGCUAGAGUGUGUCAGAGGAUGGUGGAAUUCCCGGUGUAGCGGUGAAAUGCGUAGAUAUCAGGAGGAACACCUGUGGCGAAAGCGGCUCACUGGACCAUAACUGACGCUGAUGCACGAAAGCUAGGGGAGCAAACAGGA
rnacentral:rRNA from 1 species